rnacentral:rRNA from 1 species
AGCUCUCCGAGUGGUGUGGAUGUUUAUUGGGCCUAAAGCAUCCGUAGCUGGCUAGGUAAGUCCCUUGUUAAAUCCACCGAAUUAAUCGUUGGAUCGCGGGGGAUACUGCUUGGCUAGGGGACGAGAGAGGCAGACGGUAUUUUCGGGGUAGGGGUGAAAUCCUAUAAUCCCGGGAAGACCACCAGUGGCGAAGGCUGUCUGCUAGAACGCGCCCGACGGUGAGGGAUGAAAGCUGGGGGAGCGAACC